rnacentral:rRNA from 1 species
UACGAAGGGGGCGAGCGUUGUUCGGAAUCACUGGGCGUAAAGCGUGCGUAGGUGGCGACAAAAGUUAGGAGUGAAAGCCCAAGGCUUAACCUUGGAAUUGCUCUUAAUACUGUGUUGCUUGAAUCUCGGAGAGGAUAGCGGAAUUGUCAGUGUAGCAGUGAAAUGCGUAGAUAUUGACAGGAACACCGGUGGCGUAAGCGGCUAUCUGGACGAGUAUUGACACUGAGGCACGAAAGCGUGGGGAUCAAAC